ACCCUCUGACAAACGGUUUGCAUUUAUGUUAAGCUACACACUUACACACGUGAAUUUCACCACAUGUUACUGAUGUUGAACAGUAUGACAUAUUGUUGCAUGCAUCGGUAUAUGUGAGUGAACGAGAACUAGCCGAUGAGAUGCUUGCCGUGACAAUUUCAAUAACAAAGAAGUCUGAGCAAGCAGCGAAAACAAACGCGAUUUGGUUUUUGUUUUUGAUUUCGUUAAUAAAAAUCCUGUUUCACAGAGAAUCGGUCAUCGUUUCCAAGGCGGCCGUCAACGUCUUGUUAGCCAUAGUAAACAACGUUUUCUACCCGAAGGAGUUAACGUCGUCGGAAUUAGCUGCCAGCUGUCGAACCCGACGGCAUUGCUACGCCGGUCAUGGAACAUGCAUUCCCAUCAUUAGUCGUAUCCACAACACUGUUUGUCCAUCCACGGCAUGUCCUGGAGCGGUUUCGGAGUUCAUCCCUAACACGGUAGUGCUUCCAACGCUGGUAUCAUCAUAGUGCAAAUCAACCCACCAUAGAUUCGCGUUGGCCCAGCUCAAACUCUUCCAGAAGAAUCCCGGAUGCUUUUCUGCUAACCGCAGAAGGCAAGUUAGGAAACAUCUAGCGAUGAUGUUGGAGAAGCUGUGGGACGACUGCGAGAAAAGACGUUUUCUAGCAUAUUUGAUUUUGUUAUUUUAAUAUUUACUUUUUUUCGAAAUUAAGUAGAAAUAGGAGAAAAACUAGUUGCUUUUUAUUAUCAUAUAUAAGAAAAUUACCAAUUAUUUCAACUGUAAGAGAACUAUAUACCAAAAGACUAUGGAACCAUAAUGCACAGUAAAGCAAUUAUUACACAUACAGUGCUUAUUUUUAUUCCGAUUUUAUGGGUCAACUAUUUUAGAACUGUUUCCUUAACAGUGAAUUGGGCAAAAAAUGGAUAGUAUAUCGACCUUUUGGCAAACUGUAAACGAAAAAUUUUGUUCAAGAAAAUGAGCGAUUUCUUAUUGUAACAUAACUUAACCGCCUAUUUCACAUAUUGUAAUUUGCUCGAGAACCAUCUAUCACACUGUUGAAACCGUUUAUGGUAGUGUUGACUUAUUGUUGCUUUGGAUGUUCUACCAUACUAUUGAGAUACUGUAGUGCAUAGUUCCGAACAGUAUGGUUCAUGGUUAUGCGGGAUGGAACCUGACAUUUAAGUGAAGCUCAAUGUUGGCUUCCUUCUUCGUAGCCAUUCAAACCAAAAGUUAGUUCCGCAGUCGCCAAGCUUAUUCCACAAAAAGCUCCAUGUACCUCUAUGAUUAUUAUCUGUUUAGGAAAUUCGUAUCCUGGACGACAAUGUCGAGUCCUGAGCAUCAACAAUCGUAAAGCAAAGAAUAUGUGCAUGGGGAGCUGCCAAAUUUGAAUUGGAUUGUAUUUUUAAGCACAAGAGAUAAUACUUCAAGUGUGAGAAGAGACAACGAACAUGUUGUACAUUAUCUAUUUUAUACAUUCAAGAAACGUACUUAUAACAUACUUGAGAUCAAAAGUUUCAACUAUGUGCUGCUGAUGUUUUGCUUAUCAUCCAUACUUGAAAGGAACCUAUCAUACAGAAAUCUUGUGUUAUCAACGUUAAAUUUAGGUUACUCUAACUUGAAGUGAGGAUGAUAAGAUUUUUCGGUGGCUUGUUAUUGUCGAACAUGGUUAAGACUUGAUUUCAACACAAGAUGUGUAGAUAUACCAUUAUAAUACUGUUCUACAACAUCUUUUUUGAAUUUAAUUUUCAAAGAUGUUUUCUGUGUUACUUGGGAAGGUUUUCACUUUCAGCAGUUCCUACUCAUAUUUAUACGGCUCCGAGGAUGGAGUAUGAGGGAAAGUAAGCUUUGAACGACCCUGAAAUCCUACCCUAUGAGCUAGCACGUUACAUAUCCUUCAAUCUAUUUUCUCCCUCUUCUCUAUGUCUACUAACCAACUCAUGUAUGUUGAUGGAUUUAUAGCCAUUACUUGAAUCAGAAACAGGAUCAAUAGGCCGUUUCCCUUCCUUCCAACUCCACAGCAGAGUGUAAAUUAAUCUAUUAUUAUAACGCCUACAAGUUCUGCAACCAUGCGAACUGUGCCGCACCAUCUUUAGAGUGAUCAACACACAAUCUAUCACCUAAUACGCCUGGCAUCCACAGUGUGUGAACCCUCUGCCAAAAGCUAUAUCUCAACAACACUCAGACAUCCGCAUGAACUUGUGCAAAUGCAGUAAACUCCAUGAUCUGUUGGCAACAAGCGAUUGCAACUACCACUUUCCUCCCCAUCCCCACAUUGACCUGCAACCUGACGUAGCAGGCGCAAUUUUUGUCUAAAAAUGGAAAUUCGGUCCCUACAUGUUUUCAACGUGUUUUCAGAACACGUUGUUCGGCACGUGCGGUUGCAAGCACCUCCUAACAGGCAUCAGAAGGCCACCUUCAGAGACACGUUAUCCUCCGUUUGGGACGUUGCCGAAAAAAUGGGAUUGAGAUCGAGACAGGUAUACGUACAACUAUGAAAAGUUAUUUAUCAUCUAUCAUUCACCCAUAGAUUUACCCUAAAACCCGUAUAUAUUAUAUGCACUUACACUCUAUUAUAAUCCAGUCAACUGUGCACCUUUUAAGCCCCAACUACCGAACAACAUUGACAUUUGUACUUAUUCUACGAAUGGAUACAAUCGACUUAUUUGACACAUUCAAAGCACUCCUACAGCCGCCACCUUAAAAUACACUUCCACAAGGAUUACCGGAAUAUCAACUCCGGGUCUGUACAACGAUAUGGACAUCCGCCACAAUCCGU